CCCCUCUCAGGGUCGCACCUGGAGAGUAUUCAGUACUCUACCAGUCGACUAAGGGAGAGAGAGUCAAGCAGAAGCAUAUCAUUUCCAUUCCUAGCUUGGUCAGUGGCUAGCGAGUGGAAGGCAAUCUGCUACAAGU